rnacentral:rRNA from 1 species
AUUGAACGCUGGCGGCAUGCUUUACACAUGCAAGUCGAACGGUAACAGGCCGCAAGGUGCUGACGAGUGGCGAACGGGUGAGUAAUGCAUCGGAACGUGCCCAGUCGUGGGGGAUAACUACUCGAAAGAGUAGCUAAUACCGCAUACGAUCUAUGGAUGAAAGCGGGGGACCGUAAGGCCUCGCGCGAUUGGAGCGGCCGAUGUCAGAUUAGGUAGUUGGUGGGGUAAAGGCUCACCAAGCCAACGAUCUGUAGCUGGUCUGAGAGGACGACCAGCCACACUGGGACUGAGACACGGCCCAGACUCCUACGGGAGGCAGCAGUGGGGAAUUUUGGACAAUGGGCGCAAGCCUGAUCCAGCAAUGCCGCGUGCAGGAAGAAGGCCUUCGGGUUGUAAACUGCUUUUGUACGGAACGAAACGGCUCUGGUUAAUACCCGGGGCUAAUGACGGUACCGUAAGAAUAAGCACCGGCUAGCUACGUG